UACAGAGGUGGCAAGCGUUGUUCGGAAUUACUGGGCGUAAAGGGCGCGUAGGCGGCCUACUAAGUCAGACGUGAAAUCCCCCGGCUUAACCUGGGAACUGCGUCUGAUACUGGAAGGCUUGAGGAUGGGAGAGGGAUGUAGAAUUCCAGGUGUAGCGGUGAAAUGCGUAGAUAUCGGGAGGAACACCAGUGGCGAAGGCGACUACCUGGCCUGUUCUUGACGCUGAGGCGCGAAAGCUAGGGGAGCAAACGGG
rnacentral:rRNA from 1 species